UACAGAGGGUGCAAGCGUUGUUCGGAAUUAUUGGGCGUAAAGGGCUCGUAGGUGGUUUGUCGCGUUGUUCGUGAAAACUCACAGCUCAACUGUGGGCGUGCGGGCGAUACGGGCAGACUUGAGUACUGCAGGGGAGACUGGAAUUCCUGGUGUAGCGGUGGAAUGCGCAGAUAUCAGGAGGAACACCGGUGGCGAAGGCGGGUCUCUGGGCCGAUACUGACGCUGAGGAGCGAAAGCGUGGGGAGCAAACAGG
rnacentral:rRNA from 1 species